CAUUACAACCCUCAAGCCCAGCUUGGUGUUGGGUGCCGCCCCCCGGGGCGCGCCCGGAAAUCAGCGGCGGUGCCGCCCGGCGAUCGAGCGUAGUAACAAACCCCUCGCUUCGAAUCCACCCGGGCGGUCCGGCCGGACAACCCCCCCAGCUACCCCCAACGAUUGACCUCGGAUCAGGUAGGGAUACCCGCUGAACUUAA
rnacentral:misc_RNA from 1 species